AUUCAGACUCUACUGCAGAGAGUAUAAUUCUGAUGGACUGGACACAUUGUUAGAAUUCCAAAGAAAAUGAUGAACAGGCUGAUGUUUAGAAGGGCCUGGAAAGAUUUGCAUGAACUGAUGCUGAGAGAAAGAAGCAGAACCAGAAAAACAUGGUACACAGCAACAGAAGGUUUGUGUGAUGAUCAACUGUAAUGGACCUGGUUCUUCCCAGAGGUUCAAUGAUCCAAGGCAAUACCAAUAAACUUUGAAUGGAAAAUGCCAAUCUGCAUCCAGAGAGAAAACUGUGGGGAUCAACAGAUAUUAUUUUCAGUUUCUUUUUCUUUCUUCUGAUUUUUCUCUCCCAACAUUUCCAUUCAUAUGGAAAUAUGUGAAAAAUGAAUGUACAUGUAUAAUAAAAAAGUUUUUAUAUGUAAUUGAGAAAAAUAACAAAACAAUAAUGAAUACAUCCAAAAUAAAUUAUUACUAUACUCACGGUUUUGAAGAUAGUUAUCUAUGUAUAGCAGUUCACAUCAAUAAAGAUUGCAUCAAAACUCAU